rnacentral:lncRNA from 1 species
GACCAGUAGUAGGACCAGUAGUAGGACCAGUAGUAGGACCAGUAGUAGGACCAGUUGUCGGACCAGUUGUCGGACCAGUAGUAGGACCAGUAGUAGGACGAGUAGUAGGACCAGUAGUAGGACCCGUAGUAGGACUAGGAGUAUUACCAGUAAUAGGACCCGUAGUAGGACUAGGAGUAUUACCAGUAAUAGGACCAGUAGUAGGACCAGUAGUAGGACCAGUAGUAGGACCAGUAGUAGGACCAGUAGUAGGACCAGUAGUAAGACCAGUAGUAGGACCAGUAGUAGGACCAGUUGUAGGACCAGUUGUAGGACCAGUAGUAGGACCAGUAGUAGGAGGGUUAGCUGCAAGU